GACAGAGGGUGCAAACGUUGUUCGGAAUUACUGGGCGUAAAGCGCGUGUAGGCGGCCCGGAAAGUCGGAUGUGAAAGCCCUGGGCUUAACCUAGGAAGUGCAUUCGAAACUCCCGUGGCUUGAGUUCUGGAGAGGGAAGCGGAAUUCUCGGUGUAGAGGUGAAAUUCGUAGAUAUCGAGAGGAACACCGGUGGCGAAGGCGGCUUCCUGGACAGUGACUGACGCUGAGACGCGAAAGCGUGGGGAGCAAACAGGG
rnacentral:rRNA from 1 species